rnacentral:pre_miRNA from 1 species
AGGGAAUAGUUGCUGUGCUGUAAGUUUAUAUACCGUAUCUAUAUCACAGUGGCUGUUCUUUUU